ACGGGUGAGUAAUACAUCGGAACAUGUCCUGUAGUGGGGGAUAGCCCGGCGAAAGCCGGAUUAAUACCGCAUACGAUCUACGGAUGAAAGCGGGGGACCUUCGGGCCUCGCGCUAUAGGGUUGGCCGAUGGCUGAUUAGCUAGUUGGUGGGGUAAAGGCCUACCAAGGCGACGAUCAGUAGCUGGUCUGAGAGGACGACCAGCCACACUGGGACUGAGACACGGCCCAGACUCCUACGGGAGGCAGCAGUGGGGAAUUUUGGACAAUGGGCGAAAGCCUGAUCCAGCAAUGCCGCGUGUGUGAAGAAGGCCUUCGGGUUGUAAAGCACUUUUGUCCGGAAAGAAAUUCUUGGUUCUAAUAUAGCCGGGGGAUGACGGUACCGGAAGAAUAAGCACCGGCUAACUACGUGCCAGCAGCCGCGGUAAUACGUAGGGUGCGAGCGUUAAUCGGAAUUACUGGGCGUAAAGCGUGCGCAGGCGGUUUGCUAAGACCGAUGUGAAAUCCCCGGGCUCAACCUGGGAACUGCAUUGGUGACUGGCAGGCUAGAGUAUGGCAGAGGGGGGUAGAAUUCCACGUGUAGC
rnacentral:rRNA from 1 species